rnacentral:rRNA from 1 species
GAUCCUGACUCAGGAUGAACGUUAGCUACAGGCUUAACACAUGCAAGUCGAGGGGCAGCAUUUUAGUUUGCUUGCAAACUAAAGAUGGCGACCGGCGCACGGGUGAGUAACACGUAUCCAACCUGCCGAUAACUCUGGGAUAGCCUUUCGAAAGAAAGAUUAAUACCGGAUGGCAUAGGAUUAUCGCAUGAUAAUCCUAUUAAAGAAUUUCGGUUAUCGAUGGGGAUGCGUUCCAUUAGGUAGUUGG